GUGGGGAAUCUUAGACAAUGGGGGCAACCCUGAUCUAGCCAUGCCGCGUGAGUGAUGAAGGCCUUAGGGUCGUAAAGCUCUUUCGCCGGGGAAGAUAAUGACUGUACCCGGUAAAGAAACCCCGGCUAACUCCGUGCCAGCAGCCGCGGUAAUACGGAGGGGGUUAGCGUUGUUCGGAAUUACUGGGCGUAAAGCGCGCGUAGGCGGAUCGGAAAGUUGGGGGUGAAAUCCCGGGGCUCAACCCCGGAAUUGCCUUCAAAACUCCCGGUCUUGAGGUCGAGAGAGGUGAGUGGAAUUCCGAGUGUAGAGGUGAAAUUCGUAGAUAUUGGGAAGAACACCGGUGGCGAAGGCGACCACCUGGCUCGGUUCUGACGCUGAGGCGCGACAGCGUGGGGAGCAAACAGGAUUAGAAACCCCAGUAGUCC
rnacentral:rRNA from 1 species